AUGCAGUCGAACGAUGAAGCCCAGCUUGCUGGGUGGAUUAGUGGCGAACGGGUGAGUAACACGUGAGUAACCUGCCCUUGACUCUGGGAUAAGCGUUGGAAACGACGUCUAAUACCGGAUACGAGCUUCCACCGCAUGGUGAGUUGCUGGAAAGAAUUUUGGUCAAGGAUGGACUCGCGGCCUAUCAGCUUGUUGGUGAGGUAACGGCUCACCAAGGCGACGACGGGUAGCCGGCCUGAGAGGGUGACCGGCCACACUGGGACUGAGACACGGCCCAGACUCCUACGGGAGGCAGCAGUGGGGAAUAUUGCACAAUGGGCGAAAGCCUGAUGCAGCAACGCCGCGUGAGGGACGACGGCCUUCGGGUUGUAAACCUCUUUUAGCAGGGAAGAAGCGAAAGUGACGGUACCUGCAGAAAAAGCACCGGCUAACUACGUGCCAGCAGCCGCGGUAAUACGUAGGGUGCAAGCGUUGUCCGGAAUUAUUGGGCGUAAAGAGCUCGUAGGCGGUUUGUCGCGUCUGCUGUGAAAUCCCGAGGCUCAACCUCGGGUCUGCAGUGGGUACGGGCAGACUAGAGUGCGGUAGGGGAGAUUGGAAUUCCUGGUGUAGCGGUGGAAUGCGCAGAUAUCAGGAGGAACACCGAUGGCGAAGGCAGAUCUCUGGGCCGCUACUGACGCUGAGGAGCGAAAGGGUGGGGAGCAAACAGGCUUAGAUACCCUGGUAGUCCACCCCGUAAACGUUGGGCGCUAGAUGUGGGGACCAUUCCACGGUUUCCGUGUCGUAGCUAACGCAUUAAGCGCCCCGCCUGGGGAGUACGGCCGCAAGGCUAAAACUCAAAGGAAUUGACGGGGGCCCGCACAAGCGGCGGAGCAUGCGGAUUAAUUCGAUGCAACGCGAAGAACCUUACCAAGGCUUGACAUAUACGAGAACGGGCCAGAAAUGGUCAACUCUUUGGACACUCGUAAACAGGUGGUGCAUGGUUGUCGUCAGCUCGUGUCGUGAGAUGUUGGGUUAAGUCCCGCAACGAGCGCAACCCUCGUUCUAUGUUGCCAGCACGUAAUGGUGGGAACUCAUGGGAUACUGCCGGGGUCAACUCGGAGGAAGGUGGGGACGACGUCAAAUCAUCAUGCCCCUUAUGUCUUGGGCUUCACGCAUGCUACAAUGGCCAGUACAAAGGGCUGCAAUACCGUAAGGUGGAGCGAAUCCCAAAAAGCUGGUCCCAGUUCGGAUUGAGGUCUGCAACUCGACCUCAUGAAGUCGGAGUCGCUAGUAAUCGCAGAUCAG
rnacentral:rRNA from 1 species